ACACGUUAGAGAAGAUGACAAGAUCUAGAUCAAGAUCACCACGAUGGAAACCAAGGUCCUUAUCUCCAGCAUUUAGGAGUCCAGAACACCAUAGGCAAAGGCAUGCUAAUAUUGAUUAUGACUGUGACUAUAAAAGCUUUCGUAAGGACUCGAAGAAGCCUAUGCCUUGGAGAACAGAAGAUGAGAAAUAUGGACAAAGCAAUUCCAGGUUUGCACCUCAUGGAAAUAACCACCAGAGAAUAUAUGAACGUAGAUCACCUUCACCAAACCUGAAAAGAAUUCCCAUGGAAGAUACUUACAGUCAUAAGCCCUACAGAACACAUUCAUCUGAAAGAACUGAAAGCAAUAGGAGAUACCAGUUACCACCAAAAUACUCAGAAAUACCAUAUAAAGAGCAUGAUCGUCCGUUUUACCAACACAAAAUGGAAGACAGAUACAUGUUUGAGAACUACAAAGUCACUGGAAAUGAAAAAGGAAUGAAACCUUUUCAUAGACCGUUAGGGGCUUCAUGUAAACUUGAAAGAAAAUGGCAUGAAGAUGACUUGAGGCACCAGAGGUUACAUGAAGAGAAGUAUGGUCAGUCACCCAGAAGAGUUUCUGAUGAAUUUACGACAAGGAGCUCUUUACAGAAGAGGUAUCCUGAAGAUCACGAUUACAGAGAAUAUGGGCACACGUCUAAAAGGGCUAAAGAAAUGGAGAGGUAUGACGGUGGAGAAGUAGCAAGAAAUUCCAAGUGGAAGCAAGAACGUUCUUUUCCACCUUACCAAGAAAAGGAGGAGCAAAGAAGUCUGGGUGCCCAGUCCCACCGAUCGGCUGAAAGGGAGUACUCGGAGGGUUCUGUCACAAAGAUAGCCUAUGAGUACAGUCACAAACGGCGCAGGCAUCCAGAUGGGGAAAAGCCUUUUUCAAACAAUAGAGCUCAGAAGUAUGUGAAGCAGGAAGACCAGAAAUACGGUUCUUCUAAGGGUGCCCGGAAUAGCAAAGAGUUAGAUUACUGCACUGGUGGAAGAGCAAGACCGACUGAAGAAGGCCAUGUCGAAGUACCUGUUAAAUAUAGUUCAAAGAAGGGCUGCGAUGCUUGCGUUAACUCUUCCAAAACGGAUGUUGAUCUGAGAUCUUUUAAAAACCAGCCAAAGGAAAGAGUAAGGAAAGAAGGGGAAUUCAGGAAAAAAGUAGAUUCCUCUGAUAGCCAGCAUGAUUCAAGUCAUACUCUUUCAGAUGUGAAAAUGUCAGAUGUCAACUGUAGGAGGGAACGUCUCACAAUCAAAGUGGAUAUGAAGAAAAUGGUGACCAAGUACAGGACUGCUUCUAGUCAUACUACAGAGAGGCAGAUGUCCCAUGAUCUGGUUGCUGUUGGCAGGAAACCCGAAAAUUUUCAUCCGGUGUUUGAGCACAUGGAAUCUGUGACACAAAAUGUUGAAAACGACCCAUCAAGAGAAUUUACUCAGGAUAUAAUCACAAUUAUUCAUCAAGUUAAAGCAAAUUAUUUUACAUCUUCUGACAUAACUCUGCAUGAACGGUUCUCAAAAAUUCAGAAUAAACCAAUUGCAAAUAUGAAUGAAGUUAAAAUAUGUUUGGAUCCAGAAAUUCACAGGAGGAUUGACAUGUCUCUAGCAGAACUUCAGAACAAACGAAUUGUGCCAUCUGAAUCCUCCCAGAACAUCAUGAGAGUGUUAGAAGAUCCAAAUGAUCUACGGCAUGAUAUAGAAAGGAGGAGAAAAGAGAGAUUGAAGAAUGAAGAUGAGAGAGUGUUUCACGUAGAUGGUGUAACUCCAAGGAACCAGCAAAGCUGCAGUCUUUCAAAAUUACAAAACUCUCAACUUGAUGGCUUCCAAAAGCCUAUGAGGUUCAUUAAACCACCUUGCAGGAAAUUUAUUGGGAAACCUCACCUGAAUUCUUACUAUUCUUCAAAAGCAAGUGAUUCUUACCCUCACAGACACAUUAGAGGACACCUUGAAAAUGCAGGACCCAUCAGAAGACACUUUAAGAACAACUUUGCAGAUGGCCAUUUGCAAUCCCAUUAUAAAUCAGGCUUAGUACAGAAGGGUUUAUAUAUUCAGGCUAAGUACCAGCGGUUACGUUCUGUUGGUGUAAGGGGAUUUACCACUAAUAAAUUCAGAGAUGGAUUUUUGAGGACAGAAAAGGGAAAUUUAAAUAUUGCAACAGAAACCUGAACUGAGCUGUGAUCCUGAAGUUGAAACAGAUAACACAGCAAAGGGAGCAUCUGUUCAUUUUUUGACAACUUUGUCAAGACUUAAAAUAGGAUAAAGGAACUAACCCUGUAACUUUCUUGAUUAAAAAUAACUUUAUUUUUCAGUAGUGGAAUGCUGCAGAACUUUUUUACAGUUUUAAUAAUUGCUUUUAAAGUACAGUAUUCAACUGAAACAUUGUCGUAUGUACUUUUAGUUCCUUUUGCAUACCGGUCUCAAGUAAAGAAGUCAUUGAAGGGAGUCUUAUUUAUUGAAUACUUUUUCUCUAAGCAUGAUGUUACAGAUGGAACUUGAGUUGUUAUACCCAGAGGUUUAUAUGUUGAAAGAUUAUUGCUUAUGUAAUAAAAAAAGGAAAAAAAAAGUGCCUGAAUUGUUUGGUAAUAGCACAUUAGCUCAGGAUUUUCCAAGUAAUGACCUUUUAGGUUGUGCAAUAGAUCUUACACCUCUGUUCAGUCAUUUCUGUAAAACAGUAUUUUGUAUUACUUUUAGUUUAAUAAUAUACUUGGUUUUCUGAUGUGUAUAUGCAUUUGUAAAUUGUUAGAAUGUUGGGACAACUUUCAGUAUUUGAUUAAAAUGAAUGGUAACAGGCAGGUAUGUAAUGUACCGUAGCAGUAGCUUAUAACUGCACUGAAAGCAUGCUUGGGUUUGUUAGAGGAUUAGUUGGUCUGUAUUCAAAAUUAUUCUGUCUCAUUAUAUUUUGGUGUAUGACAUUCUUGACCAAGCCACAUGUUCUCUAAUCUUUUUUGUCAUAAAUGACUUGGUGAUUUCCUGGAUUCUGAAAUUGGGGCCUGAAGUAUUUAAUUACAAGAAAAACAAAAAACGAUACUACUGUUUCUAUAAGCUUCCUGCAGUGUUCUUAUUAAAGCCUGGAAGAGAACUCAUUAUUGAGCAAAUGGGAAAAAUGGAUACACGAAGAAACUUCCGACGUGGCGGUUUCGCUAACACUAGAAGUAAUGCUGAAGUAGUCAAGACUUCAGUCAGUUAAUGCUGCUUUAACCAUGUUUAAAAGUGUAACUGGCUCCUCUGAUUUUGUGCUUUCUUAGUUUACCUGUGCAUGACCAGAUAUCUCUAAUCUGUUUUGUACUUCAACAGUUUAGCUUUGUUUUUUAUUUCUACAACUGUGAGCAACAUAUUACAAACAAGGUUUUUUUGGCAUGUUUACUGACUUUGAUAUUUUUUUCUCCUUGCCCAUCCUUGGUCCCAAAUUGAAUGUCAUAGGAUGAAAUGUAGCCACUGUUUCAGUUGCUUUAGCUUCUAUUUAAGGUGAUACCAUUUGCUCAAAUCACAUUCUUUACCGAUAACUUCACUAAUUUGGGAUUCUGUCAUGAUAAAACUGCCUAUAUUUUAUAAAAUGCAUUCAGAAAUUGAAUUCUGUGACUGGGUUAGGUGCUAGAGGCAUCUACUCUGUGGUGUUAUCUGGUGUGAGACAUUACUGUGUAUAUUUAUCUUUGUGAAUUACAGAGACUUGUGUCUAUAUACUCAUACACAAAUCAGCUUAUUUAUUUUAGCACAGAAAAGUUAUGUUGUACUGGAAUAUAAUGUUUGGUUGAGAACAAUGCAUUGAAGUUACUGACUGGGUUGUGAAGGCACAAGAAAAAGUGUUAAGUAGAAGAAAGGUCAAUUUACUUGAAUAACUUGGUGCCUUUCUGUAUUGUAGAAAACACCUGUACAAGGACUUCAGUAAUAUCCUGAUGAUUGCAUUGUUUCUAAUGGGAGCAUGAACUGGUAACAGUUGUUAAAAUAAUCACUUACUUUAAAUGCGUGUGUAAGCCUCAGAAGGAAAAUGGUGUCUCUUGUAUUAGUAAAGUCUGUCACUGCAUUUGCAUUGGAAGGGCAAGUUAAAAAUGUGAUUAUCUAAGAGCUUUCUAGCUUUCUGUUUUAUACUUUGAAAAUAUAAAUGUGAAUUGCCUUUCUUUUGG